rnacentral:rRNA from 1 species
CCCUUAGAUGUUCUGGGCCGCACGCGCGCUACACUGAUGCAUUCAACGAGUCUAAAACCUGCUCUGAUAGGGGUGGGUAAUCUUUUGAAUGUGCAUCGUGAUUGGGAUAGAUGAUUGCAAUUUUUCAUCUUCAACGAGGAAUGCCUAGUAAACGCAAGUCAUCAGCUUGCAUUGAUUACGUCCCUGCCCUUUGUACACACCGCCCGUCGUUCCUACCGAUUGAAUGAUCCGAUGAAUAUCAUGGAUUGAGGAUGCAAGCAGGUUCGCCUGUCUUCAUCUUCGAGAAGUGAAGUAAAUCUUAUCAUUUAGAGGAAGGAGAAGUCGUAACA